CGUCCCACUUAGCCAGAGCCAGGACACUGCUCUAAGCAAGUCAGCAACUACAUCUGCUCACUGGCGGCCCCGGGAAGCACGGCGUGUCACGUGUCCAGCAUGUGCGGCCCCACCUGACUCAGAGGAAACACGCGCAGCCCGGCAUCCACGCUUGGGGUCGCCCCUCAGGCCCGGUCGUACCCCGCCCCCCCCCUCCCCGCCCGCCCGCUGCAGACCACCUCCCCUCCCCCCUCGGGCCUAGAGCCCCAGCUGGCACUCAGCAGGUCCCUUUCCAAUUUGCUGCACUUUCGGGAGUUCGUUAUUCCCACGGGAAGCGAGGACCUCGUUGCCAUGGUGAUGUGAGCCUUCCAACCCCGAGACCCGCCCGGGAGGCGCAAUCCUUCCUUGCGCGGCCCCGCCUGAACUCCCGGGCUAAGGGCGGCCUCGGUGGGCCCGCCCUGCCCUGUGGGAGAAGGGUUUUAGGCUCCAGAUUCUUUGGGCUGGAGGGAAGGGGAGACAUUAAUUAAGAACCCAAGAAGGUAGGGGAAGGAAGACGAAUGGAUAAGAAGGUUUUUUUUUUUUUUUUUACAAGCCACUCUGCCCUUUCCUCCCACCCACCGGGACUCUUCAGUCAAAGGCGGUCUCUCUGGAUCAGGAGCAUUUGGGUGGGGACGUCGGACACUCUGCUUUCCUCUCAACGUCUUCCAGGAACCCCGGGGCAUUUUUUAAAGGUUCUGGAACUUAGCUCACUGGAAUGAAGCUUUAACCUCUCCUGCCCCUCCAGCCUGGGACUGAAAAGAAGCGGGGGAGCGAGCGGGUCGGAGCGACCAGCCGAGCCCGGUAACGGUGGGUGGAAGGGAGGGCGACGCCUUCGGCGCCCUGCGCUGCGCCGCCCAACCUGGGACCCGGAUCACCGCGCAGGGAGCGGCCGGGGUCAGGUUAGUGGGACACCACUUUGUUGCCGUCACCUCUACCCACAUCGUGCUUGGGACAGCAAGGGUAUGGCCGUGCAAUGCCGUGCAUCCCAAAUAUCUGUGAGAUGAGUAAAUGAGUGAAUACGUGAAUAAUUAAAGAAGAUCUAUGCUAAGAAAAGGCAUCCCAAGGUUGGCAUUGUGAGGGCCGCUGGAGCAGACAGUGGCUAAGGCCGCCUCUGAGCUUAACAGCUCUCCUUCCACUGGACGCAGGUCAGGGAGGACGUCCAGUUCGCCAGUCAUCUGUCAAAAGAGAUCCCCUUUCUGUCCUUUCCCUCGAGCUCUCUGAGAAACAUCACACCACCUCCAUGGUGGUGGAUCUCUGCUUCUCCAAACCUCAGGGAAGACAGUUCUCUCCAGUGGCCAACUCAGCUCCCUCUAACCGCAGUGUCAGUGAGUCCGUCUGCCUGCUCUGUCAAUGCCAACGGCUCUUCUCAGGGUCAGGGUAAAACAUCGUGAAAGCCAGCCCGGGAUGAAAGUCCACAGAAGGACUUGGUGGAAAGGAGGGGAGAGGCAUGUGCAGAAACACCGUUCAAGGUGAUGGGGAUCUGCAAGAGGCAGAGAGGGGCCCCGGGGAUUCACGUGGGAAGAGUAAUUACAUGCAACACAACAGCUCUCCAGGCCAGCAUCACUGCCCAGAGCGUGGCCCUGAACGAAGGUGGAUUGCUUCAAUUAUCUGAGCAUCUUGAUGAAUGGGCCCUGCACACGCUCUGGGGAAGAUGGAAGGAAACUAGCCACAGAUUAAUCACUCGUGGCAUCACUGAAUGGACGGUGUUUAGAGCCUGUGAGCGCCACGGGCACAACAGGUUCACAAAAGCAGAGAGGGAAACGGAAAGCAGUCAGGCCGUGAUUAGAAAAAAAAAGGGGAGGAAGCAAAUAUAACAUUAAGACUCCUCUUUUGGGGGCUAAUUUGCAUAAAGAUAGUGGCAAUUGAAGUAGCCCAAGUAGGUCUGGACAGUGGAGUAUAGUCCUGGAAUUGCCUGGCCUAAAGUGCAGCCAGGAGCUGGGGCCCCAAAGGUAACCCUGAACCAGAGAAGGAGGGUCUCAGACGCCAAAGGAGGGAGAGGCGAGGGAAGGAGACAAGAACUGCUGACACCAACCCAGGAAAGGUUUCCAGAGAAGAUGAAGCCAUGUGCCGUUCCAGCCUCUUCUAGGACUUUCACAGUAUGCACCAUUAGUGGGGUCUCAGUGCUUCUCUGCCCCAGAUUACUAUGGGGUAUGUGUGUAUUUAAAUAAAGAGAAUUACUUUUCCCUUGAGAAAUAUCUGAUUGUGUGUGUCCAGCAUUCAACAUAUGGUAUAUCAUAAAUGUUUGUUGAAUGAUUGAAUAAAAAUAGCGUUUGUUACA